GUAGGUGGCAAGCGUUGUCCGGAAUUAUUGGGCGUAAAGCGCGCGCAGGCGGUUCUUUAAGUCUGAUGCGAAAGCCCACGGCUCAACCGUGGAGGGUCAUUGGAAACUGGAGAACUUGAGUACAGAAGAGGAAAGCGGAAUUCCACGUGUAGCGGUGAAAUGCGUAGAGAUGUGGAGGAACACCAGUGGCGAAGGCGGCUUUUCUGGUCUGUAACUGACGCUGAGGCGCGAAAGCGUGGGGAGCAAACAGGGAUUAGAUACCCUGGUAGUCCACGCCGUAAACGAUGAGUGCUAAGUGUUAGGGGGUUUCCGCCCCCUUAGUGCUGCAGCUAACGCAUUAAGCACUCCGCCUGGGGAGUACGGCCGCAAGGCUG
rnacentral:rRNA from 1 species